rnacentral:rRNA from 1 species
CUACGGGCGGCUCCAGUAGGGAAUAUUGGGCAAUGGACGCAAGUCUGACCCAGCCAUGCCGCGUGCAGGAUUGACGGCCCUAUGGGUUGUAAACUGCUUUUCUGCAGGAAGAAUUCCCCGUACGUGUACGGGGUUGACGGUACUGCAGGAAUAAGCAUCGGCUAACUCCGUGCCAGCAGCCGCGGUAAUACGGAGGAUGCAAGCGUUAUCCGGAUUUAUUGGGUUUAAAGGGUGCGCAGGCGGAUUAAUAAGUCAGCGGUGAAAUCCUACAGCUUAACUGUAGAACUGCCUUUGAUACUGUGAGUCUUGAGUGCAGUUGAAGUAGGCGGAAUGUGUCAUGUAGCAGUGACAUGCUUAGAUAUGACACAGAACACCAAUCGUGAAGACAGCUUACUAAGCUGCUACUGACGCUCAUGCACGAAAGCGUGGGGAGCGAACAGGAUUAGAUACCCCGGUAGUC